GGCAUGAUCACCUACAUUAGCAGUUUCACUUUAAUUAGAAUUCUCAAAUGUUCUUAAUUAUAUUAGAAAUAUAGUAGAAUUAUAUUAGAUUUCAACAAUUUUACAAAAUGUAGCAGCUUUCGAUGUAAAUAGGCAUGUUCAAUUUCAGGACUAGUAUCACCAUUCCAAUAGAGCUGGAGACAUAUCAGAUUUGCUCCAUACAUAUUUGCCUCCACGUCGGAAAAACAUGGCUUCAUCAAAACCACUUGCUUGGAUGGCAGCUUCUACGCCCACAUCCAACAAUGAUAGUGAAGGUGUCUUCUUUCCAUCCAUACAGUCCAAAAAUCGCAUCUGAAAACAGGCAGUUUUCAAUGGAGAUCACCAUUCACUAUAUGGUUUUACAUGCUUUUUCAAAGUCAAAAGUAUAGUUAAUUACCCUUUCAUCCAAAAUCAGGCCACUUCCCGAUGGCGUUGUAAAAAUGACUCGAAUUGUUGAUCGGUGACUACAAGUUUCUCCGCAUCUCGUAAAGCUUCCUUACCGUGAUUCUCACCACCAAUUACGGACGGGAUUGAGCUGCCGGAUCUGUUUGUUCAUAUCUUCGUCAAAGUUAUAUGCGUUGACGACUGAAUUAAUUUUGAAAGCCACUCUGUAGUCACGACACCAACCUCUAACCCGUUCCAAACUCUCCAGGUGCUGGUCGUCGCCUUCGCAGAUAGCAACUUCUUUUUUAUUGCUAUUUCGAUGGCGGCCUAUGAGGUUAUUGGUCUCUGGCCGGAAACUGUCACAUGAAAUGGCCAAGAUAUCGAGAUGCUCACCGAAUUGAAUAAACCAGUCCUCGGUGAUGAGACUGCCAUUGCUGACGAUACUAACACUUGCCAGGCCAAGCUCCCGUUUGCAAAACUGAACGAGGUGGCCUAAAUAGCGGCCUUUCUGAUGAAUGAACGGCUCCCCACCGGAAAAAUUGAUUUUUUCCAUUCCUGGUCAAAUCAGUCGGAGACCUCGCAUUGCCUCUUCUAGCGGUAAUACGAAACUGGAUUUGGCCGUGUGGAAACAAAAACGGCACUUGUAGUUGCAUUGGCGAGUAAAAUGGUAAUUGACGCUGGUCGGUCGAGGCGAUAAAUUGGAUUCCUUCAAUUUGUUUUCAAUUUUUUCUUGGGGAUAUAUUUGUAGAAACCAUUUAAAAAUGGAAUGGAGAAACCGAAGCCAA